rnacentral:rRNA from 1 species
UACGUAGGGCGCAAGCGUUAUCCGGAAUUAUUGGGCGUAAAGAGCGCGCAGGCGGUCGUUCAAGUCGCGUGUGAAAGCCCCCGGCUCAACUGGGGAGGGUCACGCGAUACUGAUCGACUCGAAGGCAGGAGAGGGAAGUGGAAUUCCCGGUGUAGUGGUGAAAUGCGUAGAUAUCGGGAGGAACACCAGUGGUGAAGGCGACUUCCUGGCCUGUUCUUGACGCUGAGGCGCGAAAGCUAGGGGAGCAAACGGG